rnacentral:lncRNA from 1 species
UUUUGUAUUCACAAAUCCAACCUAAAUUCACAAGCAAAAAAGGGAAGCAGCCUAUGUGGAGCUGAUGUAACAGAUGCAGGAAUCUCAUGGUCACAAGCCAUGCAUCACCCCCAUCGGAUCCACUUCCUUCACCACUGCUGGUGGAUCAUAAGCUCCCAAUCACUACCGGCACCAUAUCCAUCUCCUCCACCACCAUCCACAUCUCCCCUUUGCUGCCGCUGCCAUGUGGAACCCCGUUUUUAUAACAGGAAUCAAUCGUGUAAACAGUACCAUUUCCCUGGAUCAAGUAGUCUGGUACACACGAACUCAUAGCUGAAAUAUCAAGUGCACAUACACGAGAGUCUAGUACGAAUUAUUACAUCAUAAGCCCGCAGGCACAGUCUUAAAUCAUCGGACCGAGCGGUCCGGAAUACAUUUCAAAAACAGAAGUAGGUAAGGCAGCGGAGUUAAGGCAGCGGCACGCCAUUGCCACAGGCAACGACCGUAACUAAGACCUACUGAGCGCCAUCGUCUUCAUCUCCCUCCUGGUAGUAGGCAUAGGGAUCCUCCGAAGCUUCAUCUCCCACUUCUGAUUAAUUUUAUAUUUGCAAGGGUGAGUACCAACCGUACUCAGCAAGCCACCACAGCAAUGAUGCACACGACAGAGGAAUUCAAAGGAUGGCUAUGGUUCUUUUGCGCAAAGCAAGUUUUGUAAUUCUUUUCACAAGCCUAAGACCUAGCAUAGACUGAUCAAGUUUUAAUACCAGUGUUCAUAUUAAACAAUGACGGUUCUGUCCACCAUCCAUUGUGAUCCCAAGGAUAGCUUCCCGCCAUUGGGUCGUUAUGGUUUUCUGAGGACGUCCAUAUUCCCGCCUCUCAAGAAGUGGCUCCAUCAGCAUAAAAAUCAUCAUGCAAUAUCCCAUCCCACACAAGUUAAAGAAUUUAGAGUCUAGCCAAGUGUAAUACAUGUCCCGGUGCUCAAUAACCGCGAGCACGGCUAUUCGAAUAGAUUUGGUUUACUCACACUGCAGUGGAUGUACACUUUACCCGCACUCCGCGACUGCCCAACACAUGAGCCUCGUCCCAACACAUGAGACGCGUCACGGCAAAGCUUUUCGAUAACCUCGCAUUGGCAGUACCCGCUCCAUGAACUUAAAUCCUCAUGCACUCUAGGCGUCCAUGUUUCUAGCAGUGUGAGGAGUUCUGGCGCUCCCAGGAAAGAGAAGUCUCACACAUAUUAAAUUAUGGUUUAAGUUAAGUUCUCUCUCAUACACUCAUGGCAGUCCUACCAAUGGCGACACCGAUGUAGGGCACGCCUCUCGGCCCUACCUCAACGGCUGUCCCAUCGUAGCGCACCUGCCUCACUCAGGGGUGAACCAUCUAUGCAGGGAUACUGCCUCCGCUCGACUAUCUAAUCCGCUAGGUCUAUACCCAUUCGAGAAGUACGGUUGUACGGGGGUCGUUUCAUGCUUAACUUCAUGGCUCGGUCCUUAAUUGACCAGGGACGGUACUAGCCUUUCCCAGAUACCACCCAAAUCCUCCGUCCGCCCCAGUCGAAAACAAUUGUUUAAUUUUAUUUCUCCUUUCACAAAUCAUGUCAUCAACAUCAUGGCAAUGUGGCGCUCAUGUCUCCACAUGCCGCAUCUCAAUUACCUUCCCAAAGGUAAUUGCCCAAUCAUAUAGCAUUUGAUAAAUAUGAGUAUGCAUGAUUCUAGAAUGGCAUUUCUAAGCAAUUGUCAUAAUUGACUAGGGACUCAUACGUAAUCAUGGUUACAAGGAUUUUAAGGGUAAACAAUAAUCGAGGCAUGGCAUAAUCACAAGUAUGAUGUUCAUCAUUGCAUGCAAUUUUAUUUGUAAACAAAACAAUUUCGCAAUUGGGAUCAACAUGUUCAAGGAAUGGUGAUGACUUGCCUUGCUAAAGGUCUUGCGGGUCUUGGCCUUCACCCGGAUCCGCGGCUCCCUCGGUUUCUAUAAUUAUGUGCGAAAGAACAAUUUGAAUUCGAUUAGAAUUCAAACAAAAUCCAAAUAAAUCCAAAUGAAAGUCGAAUGCGAAAGUCGAUUCCUUUAUUUUAACUUUAUUAUUCGCGAACUAAGGCAAACCCAAUUUCGAUUCAAACUAUUUUGCGGGUAUAAAUGUUUUGUUGUCAUAAGUUUUUAAUUUAAUCUACCCGAGCAUUAUAUCCAUAUAAUAGGUUAGAGAUUUCUAUCGCGAGCUAAAUAUCGGACGAAAUCCUAGAAAUAUUAUAUGAUUUAAUUUAGUCUAUGACUAAAUGAUUAAAUAUAAUACACGGCUAAAAUCCCUAGUAAUUAAAUCCGAAUUUCUACCGUGAAUCGAUUACUUAUAGGGAUUACCCAAAAAUAAUCUAUAAUAAUCUAUAAGAAUUCAUCUAUUUGUUUAGUUAUUAAUUACAUCUAAAUUACUACCGCGAAUUGAUUUCUUAUUGAAAUUACCAAGAAUAAUCCAUAAUUUAUAUUAAAUUUUGCAAUUCUACGACUAUAAUUAAUCUAUAAUUAAAUUCUAAUUAUUUUAAAUUUUCUAAACUUCCCUAAUCUCCCUCUAAUCUCCUAUUUAUUUCCUUUUCCUUUUUCUCCCUUUCCUUUUUUUUUCUUUCCUUUCUUUUUCUUUUCUUUUUCUCUUUUUCUCUCUUUUCCUUUUCUUUUCUUUCUCUCCUCCCUCCCGGCUUCUUUCUCUCUUCCUCGGCUUCUCCCUUUCUCUCUCUCUCUCGGCUCCCUGCUACCUGGGGCGGCGACGGCGACCGAGCAAGGGGAGGAGGCGGCGGCUUACCAACGGCGGUGGCGGCGACGGCGGCGCGACGACGUCGCACGGCGCACGGUGCGGCGGCACGAAGGCGGCGGUGCGGCGGCGCGAGGGCGGCGCGACGGCGACGGCGGCGCAAGACGGCGACGCACGGCGCGGCGGCUCCGGGGCGACGGCGCGGCGGCUUCGAAGGUGGCGGCGCGGCGGCACGACAACGGCGGCGCGGGGCACGAGGCGGCGACGGGACGCGCGGCGACCGGACGUUGACGGCGGCGGCGACAGCGGCGGCGCGCGGCUCGGGGCGGGACGCGACGGGCGGCGACGCGACGGUAGCGCGGCGCGACGGCGACGGGGCGAGAUGACUGGCGAGCGGCGAUGGGACGGGCGGACGGCUCGGGGCGCGAGGCAGCGCGGUACGGGGCGCGUCGCGGGGCGACGGGGCGGCGCGCGGCGCAGGGCGCAAGGCCGGCUAGGGCGGCGCAGCAGCGAUGGCGACGGCGACAGGCGGCGAUGGCGACGUCGGCGCGGCGGCAGGCGACGGCGCGACGGGACGGUGACGGCGACGGCGCGGUAGCGGCGGUGCGGGGCUCAGGGAAUGGCCGGGCGCGUGGCAGAGAAGGGUCUAGGGCUAGGGACCAAAAUCGAACACCUAUGAGGCAAUGAACAGUGACUUUUCCUAUUUAUCCCGAUUUUAGUGUAUUUUCCAUAUAAAUUUGAUUCCACAAUUCCUAAUUUUACAUAUAUGCAUUUUACUCAAUAUUUGUGUUAUCUUAACUAAUGAAUUCACCCUAGAUUAAUAUUACUCAUAUUUUAUUUUUAUAUAAUUUAUUUGAGUUUUAAUUAGGGUUAAUUCUUAUUCCAUCGUAUUUAAAUUUAAUUGAUCCAAAUAUGGUCGCGAUAAUAUUUUAUUUAUUACUAUCCACACCUAAUCUUUAUUUUUAAUUUAUAUUUAUUUUACCAAUUUGUUUUUUUAAGGUUUAUUCCUGAUUAACUAUUCUUUACUCACGAUUAAUAAUCUUCAAAAAAAAAUCCAGAUAAAAUAGGCGAAUAAGAUCAGCAUGAUGCAAUUAAUUUAAAAAAGUUUUUGAAAAUCCGUAUUUUUAGAGUUUUGAUUUUGUCGGUCCAAUUUUCAGGGUGUUACAUGCCACCUCCCCAUCUUCGCUUUGCAGCCGAUGCCGUCACUAGUAUCCUGGAGCGCUAUCGCCACCACCCUUCUCUGGAUCUCUUUGACGGAGAGAAGUAGAGAGGAUAACUCUAAGGGAGAAGGAGA